CACGGUAUUGUACGUGUUGUGGACUGUGGGCUGAAUUCGGCCUGCUAGAAUGAUUCAAGCAGCUCUUAACAGAUCCCUGGCACCUUUUUUCUGUUUCUCCUUCAGCACGUCAACAAAUUCAUCUGUCACAGGACCUGAAGGUUCACACCUCUACCUCCACAACAAAGUGAAGGACAGCCCUAUGCCAGGAGUGCAUGCAUGUAUCCACACACCUGGUGGAUGGCAUGCUGCUCUUGUGAUAUCACCAAAAUGACACUUUUCACACCACUGGCAACACUUACACCUGAAGAGACAUCCUUCCAGCCAUGUGGAGGGACAGGAUGGAUGAGCGUGUGCUUUGGAUGGACGAGCGUGUGCUCCAGGGAUAUAACAGCAACUCUGUUUUUAUUGGGUAAAAAAAGAACAGUAAAACUGCUGAAAGAAGUUUGCAAAGCUGCAUCAUGGGACAGAGCUACCACCCAAGUGUUCCUGAAGUCUCUGACUUUGUUCCUCUACAGUGGGAAGAAAAGGGAAGUAACCAGAACGUUACCUCCCAAGCAGAGGCUGCAGCUGAUGUUUGUGUCUUCUAGAAAGCUUUCUUCAAACACACUGACCUGCAAGGUGGCCUUCCCACGUAGCUGCAUCCUCUGUCUUGCUCUUCCACCCCACUGUGCCAGCUGGAUGCAAAUCCAUUCUAUGACUUCCAAUGGCUGUGGAGUAGCAGAAUUAAGGUGGACAUAUAAGUGUAAACAUGGACCAUGCAACUGAAACAACUCUUCCAAGGUAGACUUUUUCCAGCUUUACAAGAAGAAAAAAAAUAAAUAAAAGAAAAUCAGAAAAUCUACCA
rnacentral:lncRNA from 1 species